rnacentral:rRNA from 1 species
GCAAGUCGAGCGCACCCUUCGGGGCGAGCGGCGGACGGGUUAGUAACGCGUGGGAAUGUACCCUUCUCUACGGAAUAGCCAUUGGAAACGAUGAGUAAUACCGUAUACGCCCUUCGGGGGAAAGAUUUAUCGGAGAAGGAUCAGCCCGCGUUAGAUUAGAUAGUUGGUGGGGUAAUGGCCUACCAAGGCGACGAUCUGUAGCGGGUCUGAGAGGAUGAUC